GCUGCCCGGGGUCGCGCCGGCGGGGGCUGGGGUGGUGCCGGGCGGUGCUCAGCCCUGGCUUCCGCGGGCUCGGGCCUGCGGGGCCUCUCGCACCCGGCGCUAUCCUGGCCGGGCUGCACCCUGCUGCCUGCCCGCCGCGGCCGGCUCGGCUGGGUGAGCUGCGGGAAGCGCUGCGGCCCGCUGUGCCGGCCCCGGGAGGGAGCGCUGUGGGCCGGGGCGCCGGGCGCUACCGCCGGUCCUGCACCUUCCGCCAGGCGUGGAACCCGACCCCGGGCAGAACUUGCACACGCAGGGGCGGCGGAGACCUUUUACUGGCGCUUUUCUCGGCACUUCUCAGUCUCCAGUUAAUGCCAUAAACUACUCUAACUAGCACAAUUAAUUAGUAGAUUAGCUGUGUAUUUUUCAGUGCCUACUAAUUAUUUUUUUCGGUUUGGAUUGUUUGGAUCUACAGGUGGGAGCCAGUUGUGUUUCAGCAAAGGGUCCUGCAGCAAAUCAGCAGCGACAAGUGCAAGAUAAUGAAGAUGUCUCACUGUGCCAAACACAGGUUAAUUGAACUUCUGCAAAAAAGAUGAAUAAAUAGCAUUUGCACUCAUGUAUAGACUGGAAACUGGAAGAAGAGGAGUUACGAGCUACUUGACUCAUCUGAAUAGAAAUUGUAACCUGUGUUGAAGUCACAAGUCCAGUGUUCAGCUUCUGGAAGGUUGUAGGAGAAGCUUGCAGGAGGACAAGGUGAAUACUGAGUUAUGAAAGAACCUUGGUUAUGAUGAAAAAGUGAACUUUUUUUAUUUUGUCAGAGUUGAGGACUGAAACCUGAUAGGAGUCUCCAAAUAUGUACAAGUUUGCUGUGAAGAGGAAGACUUUUCCGUAAGCCUACCGGAAAGAGAACAGCAUCGUACCACGGGCGUGCAUGAUUGCAUAUUAAGAAGUACUGCAUACAGUUUCUGUACAAGAGAGAUUCAAGACAAGGAUUACAGGUAUGGGACAUAUUUCAGCAUGUAAAUAGAUACGUAUGCUGAAGUUUUAAGUUUUCUCAUCAUAUAGCUGGAUUUAAAUAGGGUAUGUCCCCCCCCUUUCCAUCGGUACCAAUUUUAUAUUGUACCAGAGAUGUGGAAAUUUAUUUGAUUUUCUAGAAACGAGACUUCAUUUUGUGUUUGAAGAUGAUGUUCUGUAUAAGAAAUUGGCUUGCUCUCUAACAAGACAAGACCUGUGGGAUUUGCAGCAGUGACCAAUCAGGUUGUGGUUCAUCCUUGUCUUUGUAGCUAAUGAACUUUGCUGUUAGAAUAAAUGCAGCAUGCCUGUCCCU